GUGAAUCAUCGAAUUUUUGAACGCAGAUUGCACUCUCUUCCGAGAGGAUGCCUGUUUGAGUGUCAGCCUAAAAAAAAUCGACGUAAUCGCUGUUUCGCGGUGUCAUUCGUCUGAAAUUGGUUCAUCUUACACCUUUGUGUUUUUAAGCGGCUUAAAAUUUUCUUUACGUUUCCACGAUCAUUUCUAAGAUUUUAUUUUUUACACACGUUUAAGUUUUCGAUCUUUAUUAGACGUGGCCGUUGCAUCGGA
rnacentral:misc_RNA from 1 species